rnacentral:rRNA from 1 species
GAUGAACGCUGGCUACAGGCUUAACACAUGCAAGUCGAGGGGAAACGACGGGGAAGCUUGCUUCCCCGGGCGUCGACCGGCGCACGGGUGAGUAACGCGUAUCCAACCUGCCUCUGACUGAGGGAUAACCCGUCGAAAGUCGGCCUAAUACCUCAUGGUAUCGUCUGCGGGCAUCCAACGACGAUUAAAGAUUUCAUCGGUCAGGGAUGGGGAUGCGUCUGAUUAGCUUGUUGGCGGGGUAACGGCCCACCAAGGCUACGAUCAGUAGGGGUUCUGAGAGGAAGGUCCCCCACAUUGGAACUGAGACACGGUCCAAACUCCUACGGGAGGCAGCAGUGAGGAAUAUUGGUCAAUGGGCGAGAGCCUGAACCAGCCAAGUGGCGUGCAGGAAGACGGCCCUAUGGGUUGUAAACUGCUUUUAUGCGGGGAUAAAGUGAGGGACGGGUCCCUCAUUGCAGGUACCGCAUGAAUAAGGACCGGCUAAUUCCGUG